GACAAGUCAAAGUCCAACUUGACUGUGGCCACUGCCCAUAGAGGGUGAUAGGCCCGUAAGGCUGUCGAUUGACUGUGGCGACUUUUCCCUCGAGUCGGGUUGCUUGGGAGUGCAGCCCAAAGUGUGAGGUAAACUCCUCAUAAGCCUAAAUAUUACCCUGAGACCGAUAGCAAACAAGUACGGUGACGGAAGAUUGAAAAGAACUUUGAAGAGAGAGUUCAAUAGUACGUGAAACUGUGUGGUGGUAAACGGAGGGGUUCUCGAAGUUUCUGGAGGGAACUCAGCCUUGGAGUGGGGCUGUCUGGUUGUAUCUGAUCAGCAAUGACUGUGCAGCUAGUCAGGCUCUGUUCACGGGUGCAUUUCCCCUUCAGUUUACGGCAGGAACUGUUUAGUGCAGACCUAAGGCUCUGGGUGAAGUUAUAGGCCUAGCUUGUAGCCCCGGAUGUUCUGGCUUUGCGCUAGACAGGUAAUUGAGGAGACUCGUAUAGCGAGCAAUGCUCUGUUGCAGUCUCCAUCUCUCUGCCGAGUAGGUCGGUGGCCCCUCCGACCCGUCUUGAAACACGGACCAAGGAGUCUAACAUGUAUGCGAGCCAUUGAGUUGACUAAACUUAAAGGCGUAGUGAAAGCAAAGAGUAGCUUGCUGCUCGA
rnacentral:rRNA from 3 species